UGGAGAAGUUGUGGUGAUCAAUUGUGUUAUAACUUGCUUGCUUUGUGUUGAUGAGUUAAACAUGAGUUAAAUUUCAAGCUAAAGCAUGCUAAUGUGUAGUAAGAUGAUGUAAUUGAGUUCCUAUGGUUUGUAUUUGACAAACAUAUGAAUUAUAUGUUAAGUUGAAACAAAGGGGCUUUGCUGUCAGUUUUCGGCUUAACAGGGCAGUAUGUUUCGAGGUGCUUCUGAUGGUGUUCUCGUAGUCUAAAUAACUUGAAAUUUUUACUGUAAUAACUUCAUCAUGUGUAGUCGUUCUCUGCAAAAUUUCAGCUAAAUCCGAGACCAAUAGACAUGUCAAACUAUUUUCUGAAAUGUACUGCACGGAGCAGCAGAGUUCAGUGGCAGAUUCUGUCUUUGGUCAUAUAACUUCUUAUCCACUUGAGAUAUUGUGUUUUUGUAAAUUUCUGAGAAAUAUAGACGUUAAUAGCUUUCUAAAGAAGUGAGGUUUAUAUUUUUCUUUGAAGUGGUUGAUUUUAUAUAAUUUUUCAAAGUUAGGAUUCAAAUGGGUAUGUUUCUUAAACUUGUGAUUGGUAGUUAAUUGAGAUCCUAAACUACUAAACUCAAAUUAAGGUUUUAUUGUUCUAAUUACCUAUUGAGGAUUAUUGAUUACUAAGCUUGUUAAUAUGAUAGUUGAUGAUGGACAUAAUUAUGUUUAUAUGAUUAAUUACUUUGGGAUUUUGUGUUUUACAUGUUGGUUAGUUGUAAACUGAUCUCCAUGGAAUGGAUUUGUUUACUUCUAAACUUUCUCUAGUAGAGGAAUUCCUAUAAGAUAGGAAUAUUAGUUUAUACUUUCUUAAAGUUCAUAAGAGUUAGUAUAUUCGUUAGUUUAGUUGAUUCAACCCUAGCUUUGCAAAAGAUUAAAAGUUUAUUGGGAUGUUAUUUAUAGCUAAUUCUUCUUAUCUAGUUAUCCAAUCUUAUUUUAGAAUCUUGCUAUUAUGAAGGUGACAGUAGCAAUGAUAGAUAAGUGAGCAAGAGUUCCUACACCGUUAAUCGUAUCAGGUUAAGCUGUGUGAUGCAGAUGGUAGCAAGCAGAGCAAAGCCUUCGGUGUAUAUAUGUAUAAUUUAGGCUCGGGAUUUCAUGUCCUCAUACAUGUAAUCCACUUGAGUUAUUUCCGCUGCAACACUUAAUGUACUUUACUUUAUUGAUGUGUUGUAGAAAUUUUAAACCAAUAGCUUCGAGAAUUAUAUCACUUAGACAACUUGUCGUUGUGUUAUUGUAAGUUGUCUACUCGUGAGUUUAAAAGUGAGUGUACAUGAUUACCAGACAUUAUGGUAAAGUAUUGCUUAAGCAGGAUAAUUAUUUUUAUUGAAA